GAUGAAGAACGCAGCGAAAUGCGAUAAGUAAUGUGAAUUGCAGAAUUCAGUGAAUCAUCGAAUCUUUGAACGCACAUUGCGCCCGCCAGCAUUCUGGCGGGCAUGCCUGUUCGAGCGUCAUUUCAACCCUCAGGCUCUGCUUGGUGUUGGGGCCCUACGGUUGACGUAGGCCCUUAAAGGUAGUGGCGGACCCUCUCGGAGCCUCCUUUGCGUAGUAACUAACGUCUCGCAUUGGGAUUCGGAGGGACUCUUGCCGUAAAACCCCCAAAUUUUCUAAUGGUUGACCUCGGAUCAGGUAGGAAUACCCGCUGAACUUAAGCAUAUCAAUAAGCGGAGA
rnacentral:misc_RNA from 1 species